UCAAAUCGCUCAGCACCUACCCGGUAUAUAACAAGUUGCCGUAUUAGUAGUGCUAAUAAACUUUAAAGUAGUCACAAUGUAUUCCUUUAGCAAGUGAAAAAUUAAACAAGCAUGAAGUGCUACGCUAAUUAAGUUUUAUUUAUUAUAAAUAGAUUAAGUUAAAUGUCGAACGGAUGAUUAGGUACACCUGCAGCGGUGCAGCUACGGAUUCCUAAACUGAUUUAAGGGUGAUCGCCUUGCCCACAAUCUUAAUGCUGGUAUAGACCCGACAUGCUUCACGACAGGAGCGGUAGGUAAGUAAAAUUAGUCUGACCUUGCUUUUGAUCUAAUUCAAACUGGUGGAAUUACGGAUGUCCAAAAAGGUGGUUGAAGCCGGGGUUUUUCCACAGGACUCUUAUCAGAUUGGGUCUCCACUAGUCGCUAUCAGAUUGGGCUCGUUAGAUAAUACCAGAGAAUAGGAAAGCGGCCUAUGGAUUAAUGGGUCUUAAUAAAAAGUGAUCGGAGAUUGUACUCACCAGUGGUAUAAAGUUUAAAUUUAAAACAAUUAUAUUCAGCUCAACAACUGACCACCAGCCUCGCCUUAUA